rnacentral:rRNA from 1 species
AUGGCGGCUGGGACUGGCCGGGUGCUGCCGCUGCUGGCCGUGGCGGCGGCGCUCGCGGCGACGCUCCUCUACACCGCGCCCUUCUCCAAGAGCCUCGGUGGGGAAGGGUGCAGCCUGCUCCCGCACAGCCACUUCUGGAUCGCCAGCCAGCGGGUCGUCGCGCUCGGCAGCGUCAGCCCCGCCGCAGGAAUAGCUGAUCAACGCCAUCUCCAUGGGGACUACCGGAGCUUCGUGCUCCGCCGCCUGCUCGUCGACUACGGGGACGCCAUCAUCAUGCCCGGCCUCAUCAACGUGGUUCUAAGGCUGCAGCCUGGGCACCAUCAGGGCACUUCUUGUUCCGCCACGAGCAGGGAGCGGAAGGCGCAUCCAGCGACCAGCAAGCGCAUGGGUGGCGCAAGUGGUGACAGAGAGCGGUCGGAGACUGUAAUUGAGCUUGUGCUGGUGCUGCUGAUCCUGCUUGGAUGGGCAUGCUGCCUCUUCCAUGUGGACUACAUGACAACCAUGGUGAGCUCUCUGCUCCCUGCAUCUUAUAGUAGUUGGCCUGAGAUUAUAGUUGGGCUGGAAAUGAACUUCUUCAGUUUGAUUUGUAAGAUAUAA